UAGCACAAGAAGGUAGUUACUUGAUAAGCUUCAAAGCUAUUUAAGAGGAAAGUCCGAGCUGCUGUAAGACGAUGUUCCAUUUAACGAAUGGCCGUAGUAAUACGAGGGAAAGUGCAACAGAAACAAGACUUCUAUUUUUUGUCGUAUAUCUGAAUAAAAAGUAGUAAAGGUGAAAAGGUGGUGUAAGAGACCACCAGUCUCUAUGGCAACAUAGAGAGCUUGUAAACCCAACAUGGCAGCAAGAAGCAGAUGGUUAGCGUCUUACAUUGCUAUUGCUUUGCUAGAGCCAUAGUGUGAACUAUGGAGUAGAUUAAUGCUACUGUAACAAAACUCGGCUUAUUCUUGUGCUAACAU
rnacentral:RNase_P_RNA from 1 species